GGACGGCAUAAUCAGGCCAUCUAGGUCGCCAUACAACAGCCCAAUUUGGGUUGUAGACAAAAAGAAAUCUGACGUCAAAGGCAACAGGAAAAAGCGGCUGGUAAUCGACUUCAGAAAACUGAACGAGCGAACAAUUGCCGAUCGAUACCCUAUGCCGAGCAUACCCAUGAUUCUAGCGAACUUGGGAAAGGCAAGAUUUUUUACUACCCUAGAUCUAAAAUCAGGGUACCACCAGAUAUACAUGGCGGAAAAAGACCGUGAAAAAACUUCGUUUUCAAUUAACGGAGGGAAAUACGAGUUUUGCCGGUUACCCUUUGGACUAAAGAAUGCUGGGAGCAUUUUCCAAAGGGCAAUCGACGAUGUUCUACGAGAACAAAUUGGGAAAAUAUGUUAUGUCUAUGUAGAUGAUGUAAUAAUUUUUUCCGAAAACGAAAAUGAUCACGUUAAACACAUCGACACAGCGCUUAAACGCCUCUGCGAUGCAAACAUGAGAGUGGCCCCAGAAAAGACAAAGUUCUUUAAAGAAAGCGUAGAGUUCUUAGGCUUCAUAGUUACCAGGGGAGGAGCCGAGACCGACCCAGAAAAAGUAAGGGCAAUAAGGGAAUACACUGAACCCAAAACACUGUUCAGCCUCAGGUCCUUCCUCGGGCUGGCCAGCUAUUACAGGAGCACAAUCUAAGGGCCAUCCAAGAACUUAGAAGCGACAUGACAUCCGGUGGGUCACCCAAGACCUGCUUCAUUGCAGGAGUGGCGGCCAGCCUCAAGCUCUGUGGCCUUAUCCUGUUGCAUCAAUGCUGGAGUCGAAGGAACUCCUCAAUCAAGUUGCAAAAGGUCAUCAGAGAGAUAGGUAUCGCCGAGGACGGAGAUGAUUUAAGGGGGGAGUAGUUAACACAUAAGCAAUAACAUGGGACACCCUAACUUAGCGCACAAGAAAUGUGAAAUAUCAUGUGCCGCCCUAACUUAUCCAGUCCGAUACGGAGGGCGCCGAUGCAGUAGAUGCCG
rnacentral:lncRNA from 1 species